UACAUGUGGGGCAAGCGUUGUUCGGAUUUACUGGGCGUAAAGGGCGCGUAGGCGGUUAGCUCAAGUCAGUUGUGAAAUCUCCGGGCUUAACUCGGAAAGGUCAACUGAUACUGUGCGGCUAGAGUGCAGAAGGGGCAACUGGAAUUCUCGGUGUAGCGGUGAAAUGCGUAGAUAUGCGGAGGAACACCGAUGGCGAAGGCAAUCCCCUGGGCCUGCACUGACGCUCAUGCACGAAAGCGUGGGGAGCAAACAGG
rnacentral:rRNA from 1 species